GACGAACGCUGGCGGCGUGCUUAACACAUGCAAGUCGAACGGAAAGGCCCUGCUUUUGUGGGGUGCUCGAGUGGCGAACGGGUGAGUAACACGUGAGUAACCUGCCCUUGACUUUGGGAUAACUUCAGGAAACUGGGGCUAAUACCGGAUAGGAGCUCCUGCUGCAUGGUGGGGGUUGGAAAGUUUCGGCGGUUGGGGAUGGACUCGCGGCUUAUCAGCUUGUUGGGGGGGUAGUGGCUUACCAAGGCUUUGACGGGUAGCCGGCCUGAGAGGGUGACAGGCCACAUUGGGACUGGGAUGCGGCACAGACUCCUACGGGAGGCAGCAGUGGGGAAUAGUGUACAAUGGGCGGAAGCCUGAUGCAGCAACGCCGCGUGCGGGAUGACGGCCUUCGGGUUGUAAACCGCUUUCGCCUGUGACGAAGCGUGAGUGACGGUAAUGGGUAAAGAAGCACCGGCUAACUACGUG
rnacentral:rRNA from 1 species